rnacentral:misc_RNA from 1 species
AAGUCGUAACAAGGUCUCCGUAGGUGAACCUGCGGAGGGAUCAUUAACACGUGUAAAAACGUAUUAUUUGCUAUCUAUAUCUUUACCCAUACCGUGAACUAUGUGCCAUUUAUUGAUUUUUUUAUAUGACUUUUUUUAUUUUCUAUGUUAUAUUUCAUUAUAUAGCAUAGAGAAUGGGAAAGUUUGCAAACCCUUUUCCAAAACCUUUCUUUUUUUUAUUUUUUUUGUUCUCUUUUGUUUUGUUGUUGUGUGUUUUUUACAUACAAUGUCGAAAUGAAAGGAAUGAAAGUAAUAUAAUAAAAAAUGACUAGCACAACUCUUAGCAACGGAUAUCUUGGUUCUC